rnacentral:rRNA from 1 species
UACGGAGGGUGCGAGCGUUAAUCGGAAUUACUGGGCGUAAGGCGCACGCAGGCGGUUUUUUAAGUCGGAUGUGAAAGCCCCGGGCUUAACCUGGGAAUUGCAUCUGAUACUGGAAAGCUUGAGUAUGGUAGAGGGGGGUAGAAUUCCAGGUGUAGCGGCGAAAUGCGUAGAGAUCUGGAGGAAUACCGGUGGCGAAGGCGGCCUCCUGGGCCAGGACUGACGCUCAGGUGCGAAAGCGUGGGGAGCAAACAGG